rnacentral:rRNA from 1 species
CUACGUAGGCAGCGAGCGUUGUUCGGAAUUACUGGGCGUAAAGCGUGCGUAGGCGGUGCCUCAAGUUUGGUGUGAAAUCUCCCGGCUCAACCGGGAGGUGCGCCGAAAACUGAGGUGCUCGAGUGUGGGAGAGGUAAGCGGAAUUCCUGGUGUAGCGGUGAAAUGCGUAGAUAUCAGGAGGAACACCGGCGGUGUAGACGGCUUACUGGACCAUAACUGACGCUGAGGCACGAAAGUGUGGGGAGCAAACAGGAUUAGAUACCCUAGUAGU